AGAAAUGUACCAUUUUUGGCCUAUUUAUUCACAAGCACUUAGCUUCAUUCUCUCAAGCUUAAACCUACGAAAUUUCCUUACCAUAUCAGUCUAUAAUCAAGCCCCAUUCACACCAACAAUAAAUCAGAAGCAUCAAAGGAUCAAAAUCAAGAAAUCAAAGCUAGAAAAGGUAAAAACCCUAAAUUCUAGAAAUCCUUCGAUUCGAUGUUAAUUGGUGCAAUUGAUUGUUUAAAGUUGUGUAAUAGGGAGUCUAUUAAUGUUCUGGGUUGUUAAAUUCAGGACCCAUAACAUCAAAGUGCUCAAAAUCAAAGUUUUUCCAACUUUUGUAAAACCGAGUUCUGUUAUUUUUGGGCAAAUGUCAAGCCUUAUAUCUCUGUGUUUAUUUACUGUUUUUGGUGUUUGUAAGAUGUUAUGUGUAUCUUGUUAUGAGGUCUUUAAGAUUCAAAAAGAAUCAAGGUCAUAUCUAUUAUAGAUCACAAGUUAUAAUCAGUCAAACAGGGUUGACCAAAACUGCAAAACCAGCGAAUCCAGAAAUUUCUUGAGUGCUGUCCGUGGUCGACUUUGACCAGUAAUUUCUAGUUCGAUCUGAUGUUAUUAUGAUGAUGUUAAGGUUUGUAGUUGUAGUCCUACAUUUUGUCUACACACUAGAAGUGAUAGAGCACAAAAAUGUUACACGAUCACUAAGUUAUAGAGGUCCAAAGUAGGCACCUCGAAGCUGUUUUUCGUGAAGAACAGCUUUGGCAGCUACUUUGAGGUUCGUUUUCUCCCAGAUCUGAUGUUGUUUAGAGGUUAUGUUUGUUAGAUCUUGUAUUCUUGUAUUUCCUCUACAAGAACCAAUUUAUAGAUUGUCCAAAUUCGUUAAGAUGAGAGAGUUAUUCGCGGUCAAAGUAGCCCACUCGGUUCUGCCUUAUGAAGAUCUGGGUAGGCUCAAGAACACCUAUAGCGACGGUUCUGUCACUAUAGGGGCCUUUAGCGACAGUUUUAAUUAUUUUUAUUUCUGAUUUUCCGGAAAUUAAUUUAAAAAUUAGAAAAAUUAGUUUUUAAUUAUUAAAAAUACCAAAUAAAUUAUGAAAAAUUAUUUUAAAGUCUGAAAAAUAGUUUUUAAUUAUUUUGAGUAUAUUUCAUAAAUAUUUAAUAUUUUUGAAAUAUAAAAGGUAUUUAUUUAUUUAAUUAUAAUAUUAAAUAAAUGAUUUAAAAAUAGUUUUAAUUCAUGAAAAAUCAUGAAAAAUUAUUUUAUGGUAUAAGAAAAUAUUUUGAGUUAUUUUCCAUGACUUUUAAUAUUUUGUGAUGAAUUUCAUUAAUUAAUUAUAUAUUAAUGAUAUUAAAGUUAUUUAAUGAUUAUAUUAAAUAAUUUAGUUUAAAAAUGAUUUUAAUAUUAUAAAAAUCAUUUUAAAUGAAAUUAAGGUAUUUAAAAAUAUUUUAAGUUAUAAAAUAUAACUUUUAAUAUUUAAAGGAUAAUUUCAUUAAUAAUUUAAUAUUAAUGAUAUUAAGAUAAUAUUAAUGAUAUUUAGUUUAUUUAAUAAUUAUUAUUAAAUAAAUAGUUUAAAAAUGGUUUUAUUUAUUUAAAAAUCAUUUAAAGAGGAUAUUAAGGAUUUAAAAAUAUUUUAAGUUAUAAUUAAUGACUUUUAAUAUUUGGAUGAAUAGUACAUUAAUAUUUAUAUAUUAAUGGUGAUUAUUUAAAAAUGAUUUUAAUUGUUUUAAAAAUCAUUUAAGGGUAAUAUAAAUGUUUUAAAAAUAGUUUGAGUUAUUAUAAAUAACUUUUAUAUUUUGGCAAUGGUUUCAUUAAUAGUUUAAUAUAAAUUAAUUAUUAAUGAUAAUGGAAUUGUUUAAUGUUUAAAUCAUUUAAUUAUGAUUCCGAUGUUUGAAAGUUAUAGCCGGCCAAACUAGCUGACUUGAGAACCGAUUAUGAAGUUAUGAAGUUUUGAGGAACACCUAUAGUAACAGUUAUAUCACUAUAGGCCCGGUAGUGACAGAUUUGAAUUAUUUUAAAUUUUUCAAUUUCUGGAAAAUUCGAAAAUGAUUAAAAAUAAAAUGUUUGAUAUUUACAGAUGUUGAGGUAUAGGAUAAGAGUCUUAGACUCAGUAUUUACCCGAUAAAGCUGUCGGUACGCCGACAAAUGUCAGACCCUAUAAUAGAAAGAAAAGACUUCUGUAAGAGCAUGGAUGAGAUAUUUGAAAAAUGUAUAAAAAUAUUUCAAGUAUAGAAUAUGAACUAAAAGUAUGAUCACUGCGAUUAUGUGAUGACGUGAUUAGACUAUGUGCUGACUGUAAUAGACAGUACUAUGUGUUAUGAUAUAUUGUUCUAAUCGAACGAAUGAUCUGAUUAUUGAUAGGUUGUGAUAAAGAGAUAAAACCUAAGUUGAGAUUUGUAAUCAGCGAAUCAGGCAAGUAUCUUACCUUUGCAUUUCCUUUAUGCAAUGGACAUGAGUAAGAAGUUUCAGAAUUAUUCUAUUCCUGUACAGAUUAUGUACGCUUUGAUUAUCAACAUGUUAGCU
rnacentral:lncRNA from 1 species